rnacentral:rRNA from 1 species
CAGCUCGUGCCGUGAGGUGUUGGGUUAAGUCCCGCAACGAGCGCAACCCUUGUCGUUAGUUACAUUCUCUAACGAGACAGCCUCUCACAAGGAGGAGGAAGGUGGGGAUGACGUCAAGUCAUCAUGGCCCUUAUGUCCUGGGCUACACACACGCUACAAUGGCCGGUACAAUGGGUUGCGAAACCGCGAGGUGGAGCCAAUCUCACCAAAGCCGGCCUCAGUUGGGAUUGCAGGCUGCAACUCGCCUGCAUGAACGUGGAAUCGCUAGUAACCGCAGGUCAGCACACUGCGGUGAAUACGUUCCCGGGCCUUGUACACACCGCCCGUCACGUCAUGGAAGCCGACAAUGCCUGAAGUCCGUGGGCUAACCCUUCGGGGAGGCAGCGGCCGAGGGUGGGGCUGGUGACUGGGACGAAGUCGUAACAAGGUAGCUGUACCGGAAGGUGCGGCUGGAUCACCUCCUUUUAAGGAGA